GGUCAGUAGUAGUAGUACAGGUCAGUAGUACUGGUCAGUAGUAGUAGUACAGGUCAGUAGUACAGGUCAGUAGUAGUAGUACAGGUGCACCGUGAGGCCCAAGCCAUUGUUGAUAGCAGCUGCCUUGUGAAUUCACAUGAAAUUUGUAUUUUUUUCUUAUUUUAAACAGGAUUGAUUUUUUUAUUUUUUUACUUGGAUUUUGAAUGUUUUCCAUUUGUCACUAGAGUCACCUACCAUUUAUAAUUCAAACAGUGGAUACAGACGUCCUCGUUGCUGGGAGGUUCCAUUUUAACCAAGGAUUAUCCUACGAUAGAUCUGUGGUUUGCUUUAGGAAUGGGUGAAACCGACCAGGACAUUUGCAUCAACACCAUCUCGGAAAGCUUUGCUUCCACAGGUUGAUUUCAGGAUUGAUCAGUCCAUGCAUCAACAGUUCUGUACAUUUGAAGUAAUUCAUUUCUCCUUGCCCAUCCCACUUUUUACCAAAAGAUGUUAUGAACAUUUUACUUAAGCUAUUUUAAAUAUCUUCAUUUCCAUCUACAUUGGCAGCCAUUUUGAAUUCCGCUUCCUAAUUUAAGUUUGCAAUGAGUACCCCUUCUAGGAUGUAUUUCAAAUCAUCUGAAGAAUGUUUAACAAAUGUCAUGCUUUUAUCUGUUGCAUAACAUUUUAUGGUCAAAUACCAGCUGUUAUGGCAGCCAUUUUGAUUUUUUUUUUGCAAUAACUCACUUCCUGGUUAAGUUUGAACAUAUUUUCAUAUCAUCUGAGAAAUGUUGUACGAAAUUUCAUGCUUGUAUCCAACGUUUGCUGGAUCCACCUUGCAGCUAAACAUUAAAGGCAUUGGACAACUGGCCCCAUUAGCUAACUAUUCUAUCAACUUAGCUAUCGUAUGGGAUGCUUAUUAGUCACGUUGACUUUUGUUUACUAGUGAUCACAUGAGUAAACAAAUAACAUCCAGUGUCUAUGUUGCGGCAGGGUAACCUAGUGGUUAGAGUGGAGGGGCGGCAGGGUAGCCUAGUGGUUAGAGUGGAGGGGCGGCAGGUAGCCUAGUGGUUAGAGCGGAGGGGCGGCAGGGUAGCCUAGUGGUUAGAGCGGAGGGGCGGCAGGUAGCCUAGUGGUUAGAGCGGAGGGGCGGCAGGUAGCCUAGUGGUUAGAGCGGAGGGGCGGCAGGUAGCCUAGUGGUUAGAGCGGAGGGGCGGCAGGUAGCCUAGUGGUUAGAGCGGAGGGGCGGCAGGUAGCCUAGUGGUUAGAGCGGAGGGGCGGCAGGUAGCCUAGUGGUUAGAGCGGAGGGGCGGCAGGUAGCCUAGUGGUUAGAGCGGAGGGGCGGCAGGUAGCCUAGUGGUUAGAGCGGAGGGGCGGCAGGUAGCCUAGUGGUUAGAGCGGAGGGGCGGCAGGUAGCCUAGUGGUUAGAGCGGAGGGGCGGCAGGUAGCCUAGUGGUUAGAGCGGAGGGGCGGCAGGUAGCCUAGUGGUUAGAGCGGAGGGGCGGCAGGUAGCCUAGUGGUUAGAGCGGAGGGGCGGCAGGUAGCCUAGUGGUUAGAGCGGAGGG